rnacentral:lncRNA from 1 species
CGGACGGUUACGUCGGCAGACCAGUCGUGAUGGAUCGGCGGGGUUCCGUGUUGGCAGCAAAGGGUCCAUGCCAAUUGGCAAAAGAGAGGACUCAAGCCCUAGGACCAUGCCUCAGGACUACCUGGCCUGAUGACUCCUUGCUGUCCCCAGUCCACCUGGUCCUGCUGCUGCUCCAGUUUCAAUUGUUCUGCCUGUGGCUAUGGAACACUAACCUGUUCACCGGACGUGCUACCUUGUCCCAAAACUGCUGUUUUGGACUCUCUCUCUACCGUACCUGCUGUCUCUAACUCUGAAUGAUCGGCUAUGAAAAGCCAACUGACAUUUACUCCUGAGGUGCUGACCUAUAAUCUCCACCCAGCACAGCCAGAAGAGGACUGGCCACCCCUCAGAGCCUGGUUCCUUUCUAGGUUUCUUC